GACAGCUGGCAGAGAGUCAGAAACCAAGGCUGUUGUGGUCAUCAUGGGACUACUAGAAUGGCACUGGCUCUGUCCUGAUGGAGACAGACAACUACCCUGUGGAGGAGUGGGAACAGCAGAAAGAGGUAGGGUUAGUGACAGAGGCGUGAUAGUGUGAGAUAGUGGAAGAAGCUGGCGGAAUUGUAUGUGGUACCCCCACUCUAUGAUGGAGAGGACCCACAGAUUUGUGGUGAUGUUCCUCCAUGCAGAGAAAAGACUCACAGAAGCUAUGAGUGAGUCUCUCAACACAGCGGGUGAAGAGAAACUGAAGGGAGAGCCUUGGCGCCAAGGUAUAUAUACUAGGAGGGAGGAGCUUGUACUAAUGUGUCUUUCCUGACCACAGAAGCUCUAUAAUGUUCCAACAAGGCUCUGCGCAUGUGCAGAUCACCCAGAGUGUGAUUCAUAAGAGGCCAUGAACAAGUAGUCCUUUCUCUGUUCUACAAUUUAUUCCACUGACAAUUCAAAAAAUAUAGGAAAGAGGAAAAAAAGCUUCUCCAUACUGCAGAAUUUUAUAAAUCUUUUAUAAAAUCACACCGGAAUCUCCUUUGCUUAGCCUUUGUUUGUAAUACUUUUUCUUCACUAAGACCACCCAAACAGUUUACUGCAGUCACUCGCUUGCCCCUUUUUGAUUUGCCUGACCAUGAGUAUGGUACAGGAGCUGGGGGUGACAGGAAGACACAUUAGCCUUUCCUGACUGCACUCCGAAUUAGCUGAAGCAUAAUAUAUACUCUCUGGGAUGGGCAGUAUUAUAAAAUGCAAACCAAAAGAUUGCAUGAAAUUGAUUAAAGCCUAGGAGCUAAGGGACUAAGGCUUGUGAAAUCUCCUUAUUACUGGACAAAUUUCUCAGAUAUUUGACUGGGAUGAUAUUUGGGGAAGAACAUGAUGAAGCUAGUGGUAUAGUGAAAUGAACUCUUCAUUUAGCUUCAAUGGAAUAUACCUAUAUAUUAAAGAGGCUAUCACCGCACUAUUAAAUACCCACUGACUUUCUUUCCAACAACCAGGAUUUCUGCAUUUUUAUACUACGUAUAAAUAUUUGUCAUG